GACGAACGCUGGCGGCGUGCCUAAUACAUGCAAGUUGAGCGAUGAAGAUUGGUGCUUGCGCCAAUUUGAAGAGCAGCGAACGGGUGAGUAACGCGUGGGGAAUCUGCCUUUGAGCGGGGGACAACAUUUGGAAACGAAUGCUAAUACCGCAUAACAACUUUAAACAUAAGUUUUAAGUUUGAAAGAUGCAAUUGCAUCACUCAAAGAUGAUCCCGCGUUGUAUUAGCUAGUUGGUGAGGUAAAGGCUCACCAAGGCGAUGAUACAUAGCCGACCUGAGAGGGUGAGCGGCCACAUUGGGACGGAGACACGGCCCAAACUCAUACAGGAGGCAGCAGUAGGGCAUCUUGGGCAAUGGACGAAAGUCAGAGCGCGAAACGCCGCGUGAGUGAAGAAGGUUGUCGGAUCGUAAAACUCGGUUGGUAGAGAAGAACGUUGGUGAGAGUGGAAAGCUCAUCAAGUGACGGUAACUACCCAGAAAGGGACGGCUAACUACGUG
rnacentral:rRNA from 1 species